GCUCGCGAUUCAUGGGGCCGCCACGUCGCCGGCACGGUGGCAUUCCGGCGAUCCCUCGAGGAGUGCCACAAGCUCUACAAACCUCGAAGUUUAGAUCCAUUUCCUCAUCCUCUUUCCACUCCUUAUUUCGUUAGCUAGGGUCGAUCUCUGCGCAAUGCCCUGUUUUAUCACAGAAGCAAGGGGUUAUCUGAUCUGUUUCGUUUUCCAUCAAUUGGAGUGUCUUUAUUGCAAUGGGGAGACAGCUCUAGGGAUUUCCAUGAUCGAAUGUCCAAGAUUCCAUCUUACUGUGUUCUGAUUUAACGAUUUGUUCUGGUCUAAAUCUUUCUUCUUCUUCUUCUGCGUUUGUUUCGAUCAUGACGAGACACCUACUUGGUUUUGGUGGUCUUCUGGGCACGCUGCAGCAGAGAAGUGAUAUUCGCCUUUCUUUUGAGGUACUGCAAGAUGCAGCAUCAGUGACUUGGACAUCAGAGGUAUUGCAGCAUGAAUUCAUGAUUGAGGUCAUUCAUGAAAAAGCUCAAAAGUAUAGAGGGAACCCAUGUUGGUGCUCAAAGCAUUUGCACGCACGUCUGAUAAUCCUGUCUGCAUUACCAAUAGUCCUAAUGUUAUUGUUAUCAUCGAUGAAAAGGAAGUUGAUGAUGGAUGCAGAGUAUUCAUAAAAUUAAAUAAGCAAAGAUCACACAGUAAUGGCCAUUGGUUUCCCUUUUCGGUUCUGUCAUAAAAUGGGCUUGCCCCCCUUUUCAAUUUUCAAACUCCUAAACAAUGGUUCAAAGUAGAAUAAUUGGACGCAGAAGAUCUAUAAGAAACCAAAGGAAUAUCGUGGAUCACAGAGUAAGUUAGAAUUCUUAGUGUGAAUGCCACGAUUGGACAGACCAAUUAAACACUAGUCUCUUCUCAUACGCUGAUCUCACCCACCCAAGAAGGUUAGAAUUACCUUGUUCCAAAGAUUCUUUUCUUGUUCAAACCAAGCUAUUUGUUGGUUCAUUUGAGCAUUGUUGGAAGAAAAGAAAGAGAGAAGAAAUAUCAUUCAGAGCAAAUUUACUUUUGAGGUGAGGUAGACACAACAGGUUUGGUGAAAUCUAACAAGUUUUCCUUCACAAGAAGGCUCGGACUUUGAGAAGCAUCCAUGAUACUGGUCUAUGGCCUGAAGCGUUGUCUGCAAGCUUGACAGGUAAUCUCCAUGCAUGUGGCGCCAACUUUUUUGGUGGCCAAUUCUUUCAUCCUCUCAGCCUUCUCUACCUCCUCCCGAGCUCGCUCCCACACCAUUCUUGCUCGUGCAAACUCCUUCUCUGCUAGCUCCAUCUCCCUCCUUGUCAGUUCCCGUACUCUCUCUGCAUAAGCCUUCUCUACAGCAGCCAGUCGAAUUUGCUCAGUCGUAUGUUGCUUCAGAAUUUGGAUAUUUCUGAUGCUGCUUUUGAACCUCUUCACCUGUAGCUGAUUGCACAGGACUAACGCUAAUGGAGAGAUUCAAGUCAAGUGGUGGAGAGUCUGAAGGAAUGAUAACUGUUUUCAUCUCUGAGGACUUGGGUAUCUCAAGGGCAGGCUUGGUAGAGGGUUUGGGAAGUAGUAGUUGUAGUUCCCUUUCUUCUUGAUCUUCUACAUCCAUUGAAGAAUAGAGGAGUUACCAGAAUAAGCUAAGUGGAGGGUUGUGAGGGUGUGUGUCUUGAGUCUUGACAGUCUCUUUAUACUUCUUUCUUGUAGUGUUUUUCCAAGUUGCAUUUCAUUUUUUUAUUUUUUUUUAUUAUUUUUUUGAGGAAUUUUGAAGUUUACAUCUAAUUGGAGAUCUUGUUUGUUAGGGAGGGUAUUUAUGUCUUUUCUGUUGUUUUUAAUGCAGGAGCUCUUUUUGAUCCAGAUUCAUGACUGAUCUAUCUGAUUGUUUAGCUGUACUUGUCCAGCUUUAGUUGGCCAUAUUAGAGGAUACUUCCAAGUUCAAGUGGAGGAGUUUCCUCAAACUUCUCAAUAGUCUGCACAGAUGCCCUAAUAUCAUACAUGAUACAGCUAAAAGCCCAGAAUUUUCGGGUUAGAUCAAGCCCUUGUAGGUGGGCAUAAUUCAGUGCACAUGAGCGAGAGUGGGACCUAUAUGAAGACGUGGAUGGAUGUUGAUCUGACAGGAAAUGGUCAAGAAAGGCCACUGUAUUGCAUUGCUUUUGUGGAGGAUUUGCAAUGUCGGACUGUGAUUGAUCAGUGAGUGAAGUGGUGCUGCUGGGGGAUCCCAGUUUUCAGGAUCACAGUGGCAAGAGAAUAUUAUCAGAAGCUAAAACGCCCCAGGCAUAGAUCCAAAAGGCUUCAGAUUCAUUGAAGUGAUGUGUUACCAAACCUCAAGAGAUAGAUUGCUGGCGGCCUUAGUUCAUUGAAUGGGUCAAGCAAAACCUUUGGCCCUAGCCUAAUCUUGAGCCCAAUCCAUGCUUAAAAUCCAUAGACUGGAGUUGCUGUCAAAAAAUAUUAUAGCCAAUAACCAGCUUGAUUUUAUUUGCCAAAAAAGGCGGUUUUUGUGAUACAGAAUAAGGAUGAUGGCUAGCACUUAUUAGAGUCAUAUCUGGAACUCACCCAAAAGAGAAGAUAAAGAUCUUAGUGUG